rnacentral:rRNA from 1 species
UGGGGAAUUUUGGACAAUGGGGGAAACCCUGAUCCAGCCAUCCCGCGUGUGCGAUGAAGGCCUUCGGGUUGUAAAGCACUUUUGGCAGGAAAGAAACGUCGCGGGUUAAUACCCCGCGAAACUGACGGUACCUGCAGAAUAAGCACCGGCUAACUACGUGCCAGCAGCCGCGGUAAUACGUAGGGUGCAAGCGUUAAUCGGAAUUACUGGGCGUAAAGCGUGCGCAGGCGGUUCGGAAAGAAAGAUGUGAAAUCCCAGAGCUUAACUUUGGAACUGCAUUUUUAACUACCGGGCUAGAGUGUGUCAGAGGGAGGUGGAAUUCCGCGUGUAGCAGUGAAAUGCGUAGAUAUGCGGAGGAACACCGAUGGCGAAGGCAGCCUCCUGGGAUAACACUGACGCUCAUGCACGAAAGCGAGGGGAGCAAACAGGAUUAGAUACCCUGGUAGUCCACGCCCUAAACGAUGUCAACUAGCUGUUGGGGCCUUCGGGCCUUGGUAGCGCAGCUAACGCGUGAAGUUGACCGCCUGGGGAGUAC